rnacentral:rRNA from 1 species
GAUGAACGCUAGCGAUAGGCCUAACACAUGCAAGUCGAGGGGCAGCACAUGAGUAGCAAUACGAUGGUGGCGACCGGCGCACGGGUGAGUAACACGUAUGCAACCUACCUCUAACAGGGGGAUAACCCGUUGAAAGACGGACUAAUACCCCAUAAUACAGGGGCUCCGCAUGGAGAUAUUUGUUAAAGAUUUUAUCGGUUAGAGAUGGGCAUGCGUUCCAUUAGCUAGUUGGUGAGGUAACGGCUCACCAAAGCGACGAUGGAUAGGGGAACUGAGAGGUUUAUCCCCCACACUGGAACUGAGACACGGUCCAGACUCCUACGGGAGGCAGCAGUGAGGAAUAUUGGUCAAUGGAGGCAACUCUGAACCAGCCAAGUCGCGUGAAGGAUGAAGGUCUUAUGGAUUGUAAACUUCUUUUGCAGGGGAAUAAAUAGCGGUACGUGUACCGUUUUGCAUGUACCCUGCGAAUAAGGAUCGGCUAACUCCGUGCCAGCAGCCGCGGUAAUACGGAGGAUCCGAGCGUUAUCCGGAUUUAUUGGGUUUAAAGGGUGCGCAGGCGGGAGAUUAAGUCGGCGGUGAAAUUUUGCAGCUCAACUGUAAAAGUGCCUUCGAUACUGGUUUCCUUGAGUGUGGAUGAAGUAGGCGGAAUUUGUGGUGUAGCGGUGAAAUGCUUAGAUAUCACGAGGAACUCCGAUUGCGCAGGCAGCUUACUAAACCACUACUGACGCUCAGGCACGAAGGCGUGGGGAUCAAACAGGAUUAGAUACCCUGGUAGUCCACGCAGUAAACGAUGAUUACUGGCUGUUUGCGAUACAAUGUAAGCGGCUGAGCGAAAGCGUUAAGUAAUCCACCUGGGGAGUACGUUCGCAAGAAUGAAACUCAAAGGAAUUGACGGGGGCCCGCACAAGCGGAGGAACAUGUGGUUUAAUUCGAUGAUACGCGAGGAACCUUACCCGGGCUUGAAUUGCAGAGGAACAUAGUUGAAAGAUUAUGGCCGCAAGGUCUCUGUGAAGGUGCUGCAUGGUUGUCGUCAGCUCGUGCCGUGAGGUGUCGGCUUAAGUGCCAUAACGAGCGCAACCCUUAUCAUUAGUUACUAACAGGUCAUGCUGAGGACUCUAGUGAGACUGCCGUCGUAAGAUGUGAGGAAGGUGGGGAUGACGUCAAAUCAGCACGGCCCUUACGUCCGGGGCUACACACGUGUUACAAUGGGGGGUACAGAGGGCAGCUACCGGGCGACCGGAUGCCAAUCCCAAAAACCUCUCUCAGUUCGGAUCGAAGUCUGCAACCCGACUUCGUGAGGCUGGAUUCGCUAGUAAUCGCGCAUCAGCCAUGGCGCGGUGAAUACGUUCCCGGGCCUUGUACACACCGCCCGUCAAGCCAUGAAAGCCGGGGGUACCUGAAGUACGUAACCGCAAGGAGCGUCCUAGGGUAAAACUGGUAAUUGGGGC